rnacentral:tRNA from 1 species
GGCCGCCUGGCGAAAUGGCAUCGCGUCUGACUACGAUGUAAUGUAAUCAGGAGAUUGCAGGUUCGACCCCUGCGGUGGUCA